UACGUAGGGUGCGAGCGUUGUCCGGAAUUAUUGGGCGUAAAGAGCUCGUAGGCGGUGUGUCACGUCGGCCGUGAAAACCUGCAGCUUAACUGUGGGCGUGCGGUCGAUACGGGCAUCACUGGAGUUCGGCAGGGGAGACUGGAAUUCCUGGUGUAGCGGUGAAAUGCGCAGAUAUCAGGAGGAACACCGGUGGCGAAGGCGGGUCUCUGGGGCCGAUACUGACGCUGAGGAGCGAAAGCGUGGGGAGCAAACAGG
rnacentral:rRNA from 1 species